AGGUAAGCUACUAAGAGCGAAUGGUGGAUGCCUUGACUGGUAAAGGCGAUGAAGGACGUACUAGACUGCGAUAAGCUACGGGGAGCUGUCAAGAAGCUUUGAUCCGUAGAUUUCCGAAUGGGGCAACCCAAUGUAUAGAGAUAUACAUUACCUAUAUAGGAGCGAACGAGGGGAAUUGAAACAUCUUAGUACCCUCAGGAAAAGAAAUCAAUAGAGAUUGCGUCAGUAGCGGCGAGCGAAAGCGCAAGAGGGCAAACCCAGUGCUUGCACUGGGGGUUGUAGGACUGCAAUAUGCAAGAGGUAAGUUUAGCAGAACAUUCUGGAAAGUAUAACCAUAGAGGGUGAUA
rnacentral:rRNA from 1 species